AUUGAACGCUGGCGGCAUGCCUUACACAUGCAAGUCGAACGGUAACGGGCCUUCGGGUGCCGACGAGUGGCGAACGGGUGAGUAAUGUAUCGGAACGUACCUUUCAGUGGGGGAUAACGUAGCGAAAGUUACGCUAAUACCGCAUAUUCUGUGAGCAGGAAAGCAGGGGAUCGCAAGACUUUGCGCUGAUUGAGCGGCCGAUAUCAGAUUAGCUAGUUGGUGAGGUAAAGGCUCACCAAGGCGACGAUCUGUAGCGGGUCUGAGAGGAUGAUCCGCCACACUGGAACUGAGACACGGUCCAGACUCCUACGGGGGGCAGCAGUGGGGAAUUUUGGACAAUGGGGGGCAACCCUGAUCCAGCCAUGCCGCGUGAGUGAAGAAGGCC
rnacentral:rRNA from 1 species